CCUACGGGAGGCAGCAGUGGGGAAUAUUGGGCAAUGGGCGCAAGCCUGACCCAGCAACGCCGCGUGAAGGAAGAAGGCUUUCGGGUUGUAAACUUCUUUUCUCAGGGACGAAGAAAGUGACGGUACCUGAGGAAUAAGCCACGGCUAACUACGUGCCAGCAGCCGCGGUAAUACGUAGGUGGCAAGCGUUAUCCGGAUUUACUGGGUGUAAAGGGCGUGUAGGCGGGGGAGCAAGUCAGAUGUGAAAACUACGGGCUCAACCUGUGGCCUGCAUUUGAAACUGUGUUUCUUGAGUGCUGGAGAGGCAGACGGAAUUCCUAGUGUAGCGGUGAAAUGCGUAGAUAUAAGGAGGAACACCAGUGGCGAAGGCGGUCUGCUGGACAGUAACUGACGCUGAGGCGCGAAAGCGUGGGGAGCAAACAGGAUUAGAUACCCGAGUAGUC
rnacentral:rRNA from 1 species